CUCUUAAUCCUUGCGAAUUUCAGUUCAUACUGUCUCCACGCAUUUACUGGUGAAAAAAAAUGUCACGGUGAAAAAGCCAAACUACUAGUGGCAGGAUGGUUCCUUUUUAAUUUAAAGUGAGCUACAAAGAAAUGAUUCCGUCCCGUUCUACUGAUCUACCCCUUAUUUUGGCUUAAGUCUCGAUUAUUCACUCGAGAGUGGCCACCUUUCUUAAUCCAUGCCUAAAUCCAAUUAGCUGUAUGAACAGGGGAAAAACCGACUAAUUUGCUGAACUAGAUAAAGAACAGGAGGAAAAUGGAUGACUGCUUGGAAAUACAACCUUGUUUUAACCGCCUCUACCAUUGUGUGGCCGCAUACCACAACCCAAUAAUAUUAAUACAUUUAUUUUAAGAUAUAUUAUGCCACCGUGAAUCCGUGAUCAAUCAGAUCCUUUAAAGAGAAUCUGUGAAUUCUAAGCAAAUCACUAUUAACUUACAUUUCCGUUUUAUACACAAACAGAAUACAUCUUCAAAAUAUGAACCAAUUGCCUUUAAAAUUGAAACAGACAGCCUUGUACAAAUAAUUUAUCAAAUAAAUAACCAGACAAAUUUUUAACAUGAAGGGUUUGGAUUUUUAUCAAUGUUGCCAGUUCUUCACCUGCUUUUUCUUUUGUUGCCUUUCUUUUGAUUCUUGAAUCUCAUGAGCUUCAUGGAAAGUGCACUUGAAGAGCUCUUGCCCUCAAGCUUCUUGGUCAUUUUCGCCACACUUGACAUACCUUUUCUAGCAGCUGCACGAUGCUCAGGUCUACGGCUCAUCAUCUUGCGAUCAAGGGGCCAAUAUGCAUAUGGUUCAAGCUUGUCUUUCCUCUUCACAUCACCACCUGCCUUCUUGCUAGCAUAUUCAUUCCCAGUGAAAGCCCACCCAGCUCCUGAUGUUUUUCUACGCUUUUGGGCUUUCCUUGAAGAGUCCAUAGAAACAUAACUACCUCCUUCACUCCUUGCAUCUGGAGUACGAUCAGAAGGCUUUUCCUUAUUUGCUUUCCCUCCUACACGUAUUAUCAAUCUGCCUUCAGAGUCUAUCUCUGGCUCAUCAUCUGAUUCUUGCUUCCGUUUGAGACUCUCCGAUGAUCGAAGAGCCGACCUUGUCUUGCGCCGAUCAAGCAAAUCAAGUGGCUCAUCUUCUAACUGCUCAAACAAGUCUUCUGGCAAGCUCUUAUCUGAUUUGUGCAUUCUCUUGGACCGUAAUGAAGAAGCUUUGGAUUUAGGCUGUAAGGAAGCCUUGCUUUUCCGACCAGAAACAGAACUUGUAUCCUUAUAUUCAUCAUCACCAUCCACUGUGUCUUCAUCACCGAAAUCAGAAAAUAUUUUUGUAUGAUUCCAUCUACUUAACCUGGAUGUAGUUGCUCUUGACAGAUGAGAUCUUGCAUCCUCAGAGUUUGCUACAGGCUUUCUCUCUUUCCGCUCCUUUAUCUUCCGGAUGUUAGUAAGAAGUCUCAUGUGUUCUUCAGGCAUCACUGCCUUGACAGCAUCCAGACCACACUUCCUGAUGAGCAUUUCUAGCAGAUGCUUAACCUUCGCUUUGAAAUUGUUUUUAGUGUCAUCCUGCCACUUCAGCAAGCCUUCCACUAUACUCCCCAAGUGGAUCUGCAGUCCCUCGGACUGUGAUUUUGCCACCAGUACCUUUAACAAACCUAAAUUAGCUUUAAUGAUUUCACGGUUCUUCCUUUUAAGGAGGAGAAAUGUGGAUGGAAGUAACUUGUAAGCAGUAGAAACAAGGUCCGAAAACUCAUAAGCUAGACGAGCUAAGCCUUUUAUAGCAGCACUGACCAUAUGAGGAGUUUCUCCUGCCAAGCCUCCAGCUACCUAAGACCAAUAAAAACAAGCCAAAAAAUUUUAUAUACAAAAGAGGGACAGUAGACAAUGUGAUUGAGAAGAUAAAAUGUGGAUCAUUAUAAAUAUUCAUAAGAUCUUGUCAGAACUUCUGAUGUAUGAGGCAAUGAUAAGAGCUUUAAUUGAUCCAAUAAUAGUUAUCUUGAAAGAAAAGUUAAACCAGAUAAGCACCAUGUUGAAAAAUUGAUACAAGUUUUCCCUGUUUCCGCCGUUCUCUUCAUCUCCACAAGCAUGACCAAUUUGGACAAGCACAUCAUAAGCUGUAUUUCUGGUCUUUUUGUUAGCCUCUUUCAGAGCAAGAAUUAUUUCAGUAAGGAAAGAACUAAGGAUGCCACGCCGCCUCUGCUCUGAAUCUCCCUUGGAAACAUGGACUAUCAGAAAGUGCAAACAAUCAAGUCUGUGUCGUUUGGCAGAGAAAUGACAGCAAGGAAGGACAUCAAUCAUGAGUUGAAGCAGCUCCUCUAGCUCUGAUGAAAGAAACCCAUCACAUUUCCGAAUAAUAAUUGAAAGGACUUUAUAUGCUUUCUUUUGGAUCAAACCCUCAGCAUCCUGUAAUGCAGGCUUUACAGCACUAAACAGAACACCAAUCUCUUGUCCAUCCAAGCCAGGCAAAAGGGAAACAGCCAAAUCAAAUAGCUGUGCCCUCUCAAGUGAUGGAGGCUUUUCAUUUGACGAAACAUCAAUCCGCGCAGAAUUAGAAUUCCCAGAAGCUUCAGCAUUUGUAGCCUUUUGUGUAACCUCCAAAAGCUUUCGCAUUGUCUUUAAGAAAAUCCUUUUAACUACAGCUUUAUCAGCUAUUGAAGCAAACUCACUAAUUAUAGACUGCAAACAACCACCAUCAUCUUUUGAAGAUUCCAAGAGGACCCCCGACAAAACAGUCAAAAAAUCACGGGCAGAUGACCUUAGCACACUCAAAUUAUCUGCUGCAACUUGUGGGCUAUAGUGGGUCAUAGCUCGCUGUCUGGCAAUGCCAACUUCAGUAACAUUCAGAUCAUCAUUUCCUUCAACAAUUCUUUUAUUUUGUUGAAUUAAAUUCUGCAGAGCAGUGCAUAAUAUUCCGCGAAUAUCACAUUCUUCACGAAGAGCACUACACAAAGCUUUCUCUAGAUCCUUGAAACUUUCUGCAGUAUCCAAUGGAUAAUUGCAAAAGGAAGGUAAUAAUGACCACAGAGAGUAUAAAAGUGCAUCAGCACUCCUUGCUGAGACAAUCCGUCCUUCUAGCUCAAAUUUUUGGGAUUUCUGUUUUAUCAGACCAACCACACCCAAAAUGGUCUCUGUAAAGAAGCUUAAAUGGGCACCAACUGUGUACUGCUUCAAAAUGGGAAACAGCCAAACAUUAACCUCAGACAAGUCAUCAGCCUCUAAUUUAAGAGGUAGGAGACUUAGAAAUGUUUCAGGGCCCAUUGCACCAAGAGCAGAUCCUAGGCAUUCAUGCAACUGUUUUCUAUAAGGAAAAUCUUCAUCUGACAAUCCCUGCAUAUCUGCCAAGUUCUUAAGGGUAUCUUUCAUAAAAUAUGAAGAAUAGUUGCCUAAUUUAUCAAACAUUGCUGAAAGAACUUGAAAUACCAUAUCCCAGACUGCACUGUAAUGAUAAUCAAGCAAACUCUCAAUAGUUGCACACACUUUUUCAAUAACUGUCGGACCAGACUUUCUGCCUUCUACAUUUUUAUUUGUCUUAAUCUGAUCUACUCCCUGCUUGAUCAAAACUUCAUCAAUGCAAUUAGUUAUCAAACUCUUCAAUGCCUCCGUUGCUGCAAAGAUGGCCUCCUCAUGUUCAGAGGCCAAAAUAUCUUUCAGGGUACUAAAUAUAAGCGGUAGCUUAACCACACAAAUUUGUCUAUUUAAGGAAUAAACUUUUCUCAUCCCUGAAUCCAGUAAACGAGCAGUGAAAGUCAAGUUAUCCACAGAAGUCUCAUUCGCAGAGGCAGAAAGAGCUAAUGAGCAUAACAAGUCCAGCAAUGCUUCAGAUGAAACAUCAGAAGUCAUGUGUAAACAAAUUACAUUCAAACUAUCAGUUAUGCGCCUUGUAACAACUGGCUGGCGCAGCUCAAGGAGGGUUUUAUAGUACUUAAGGAUGGUGGUUUUACACUUCAUAGAUAUAAGAGGAAGACAUUCUUUAAGAGUAUCCAGAAUAUAGAGGACCUCCUGCGCUCCUCUGGGCCCUUCAGUCUCAUUGGUGUUUGAUCCACCAGCAAGAAGAAGAAACCUUUCCAAUGUAUUAGUAAUCCCUUCACUUGCAGGAAUUAGUGCUGGUGUUCCUUGAAAACCUUGUAGUACAUCGCGAGAACAAGUGUUUGCCUGUUUUCUCACCUUUGGACGCGAAUCGAUUAUAAACCUCAAUAAAACAGCAUAUAAUUGAGAAAUAUCACUCCAAUUGACUGUGUCUUUAAUAAUCAACAUAUGCGCUAUACAUUUCAAUCCCGAAGUCACAGCACCAACCGUCAGCGAAUUCAACCUUAAAACCCUAAAUAAGAUCUCCGAUACGACUUCUCUCUUUUUCUUCAGUAUCGCAGUUGAAAUUCUGGGAAGAACGAGAGAGAGAAUGGUCAUGAGAGCAUCGAUUACAUAAGAAGGAGGGUCGGGGUCCAAGGAAAGGCGGUCAAGGGAGGAGCAUGCGGCGCCGAAGUAAGCAAUUGGAGUGGACUGGAGGUUCUGUUCCUUGAGCUCCUGGGACAUGGCGCCAAUGACUGCGCAGAGGUGCUGGUGGUCCUCUUGUAUGGAGGUGGAGAAACGCGAGAGAAUUGAAUCACAGAAAUCGUCGGUUGUAGGGAUGAUGGGACCCUCCAUUUCGAUGCCUUCCAUUGUAGGUCGUGGUGGAGACGAAAUUAGGAGCUACAGUUGCAGAGAUCUUAAAACCCUAUCUAUGCUAGGGUUUAAAAGGAGGGUGGGAAAUUUCGGGCUUGG
rnacentral:misc_RNA from 1 species